rnacentral:hammerhead_ribozyme from 1 species
ACCCAUCUGAAGAGUUCAAAAUAGGACGAAACUCACAUUCUGGAU